UGCUGAGGCAGUGAAGAAAGUAGAGGAAGAUGGGCAAAGGGAUCCUGAGAGGAGUGGUGUGAGUAAUAGAUCGGUACUAGUACAGAGGAAUAAACCAAUAAGUGAUAUGUUUCAUUCAGUAAGAUUGGAUUUUUGGCAUUUAUAGCAAUGGUUAUCAAUUGUACUGCAGGGAUGGAACGUAAAGUCGCAGAAAAUUGAGGUUGUGGUGGCAGCUGCAGAGGUAUUUGUGAGACUUGACAUCAGAAGAGUAACAGGGUGUGUUAAGUGGUGGUGUCCCAUCCUUUCAGGCUGUUGGCCUGAGGUAGGACUAAAUAUAUUUAAAUAGUGGAGUUUUUUUGUUGUUAUUGUAGUGUUAGAUGGUAGUGUAUUUGUUGUUGUAUUAUUAUUAUUAUUAUUAUUAAACCAUUUUUUUCAAGCGAAGUAUAAGGGAGUUAUACUCCAGUCUUGUAGGUGGCGGUAAUGCAACAUUUAUUGGAUGUCAACUGCCGUUAAACGUCAUCAAAGAAGUAGUAGUAAACGGAAGUAAACAGUGACCGAUAACCAUUUCCACGUUAGCGGUUUUAAUGUUAUUUAGACGUUUAUUAACAUCCUGGAACUCAACAUAUGACAAAGUUAACUGCACAGCAUUACAUACUUACCCCAGGUAGUCUUUAACUCGCCUUGGAGACAGGACCUGGUUGAUGCUAGCUAAUGCUAGCUAGGUAGCCGCUGAUGGCUAACUGUAUGGUUUUUCACACUCAAAUAGCCUCCGUCAUGGAGGUGCUAGCGAAUGCAGCCGUGGCAGAGAUCUGUAAACUCGUAGACGACGACUAUGCAGUGUUUCGUUUGGAAAUGUCUCAAAGCCAGAAAGAAAACAGGGGAUUGCGGAGGAAACUACAGCAACUGGAACUGAAGGUGUCACGGGAGCGCGCAGAGAGGACCAUUAGAGAGCGCGUCCUCGCUAAUCGUCCCAGUAGUGUCAAGAUCCUCGACCGAUACAGAGGAAUGGCAAGAGGUGAAGGACAUCUCACUGGAGGUCACAGGAGCUUUGUGAAGCCAGCGGGACACAACACAUGGAGAGAUGACCAACCAAUCACUGUUGAUGAGGGGAGUGGAACCUCAACCCCGCAUGUUAUCGUGAUAGAGUCUGUAGAUGCAGAGGCUGCAGGUCCUGGGGUCAAACAGCAGAUGACUAAAGGAAAGAAGGACCCACAGCACAGCAGAGACAUCCAGACCGAGGCAGUGGCUGGAGUGGUGCCCCCUGUGGCCACGGAGGUCCUCUCCGCUGUGCCCCAGGCCAGGACCAUACGCAGCAUCAUGGAGGAGGAGGAGGGUCCAGAGGUGCUGCUGGUGAAGGAGGAGGGUCUGGGGAACCCUGAGGAGACCAUGGUCAUGGAGAACAACCAGACUACACCACCUCCUGAAACCACAGAGGAACUAGCUGAGCAGCACAGGACCACACACAGUCUCACUGAGUCAGUAGACAUGGAGGAAGGGAAGCCUGAUCUGCUGCUGGUCAAAGAGGAGACAUUAGAAGACAGACCAGAGAGCAUUGACCUGCUGAGUGGACUAAAGAUGGGGGAGCAAGGUGGUUGGCUGGAGGCUAACAGAAGAGACUGGGUGGCCAUCUUGGAUUUCCAGACCCAGACGGGUGCAGCCAAGGGCCCAGGGGACAACAUUACUGAGCAGGCGAGGACCAGAGGUGACAUAGUGGAGUCUGCAGUCCAUGAGGACCUGCUGAUAUCUGGUGUUGCUGACGGGAGAGACUGGACCUCUGAGGUGGGUGGUCACAAACCCUGGCCCCGGAUCAAAACCCUGGAUCUGGAGCCAUCACUCUUCCUUCCCGAGUCGGAACUAGGACCCAACCGUGAGGGACAGAGACUCCACCACCACACAAAACACAACCAGUGGACAGGUGGACUGAACAACCUCAGUCCUGGUGGUCAUCAGAGAGACAGAGGCUGCAAUCAGGGAUCCAGUCUGCAGUCUGGGGCUGAUAGAGAUAGACCCUCCUGUUCCUAUGAUACAAACACCACAAUAUCCAUGAUGAACAGAUCAGGUCACCCUGGGCUUCAGCCUUCACAGAGAGUGAUGGGAGCCCACCCUGGAGGUAGUCUACCAGCCAGUCGGCCUUCUCCUUCAGGGCCUCGUCCAAUUCCUGGUGAAUGGGUUCAUAGAAGGUCUGGACCUGGGUCUAGCCUUCCUCAGCUACCUCAUGGUUACCCCACCAAUACAGACAGGGUCAGGAUGGGCGUUCACCAUAAGAGGUACCUAGCCUAUAACACAGCACACAAUCCCAACAACACCCAAACAAUGUCUAGAGGUCAAGGAGGGAGCUCAAAAACUCUUGCUGCUACCUCUGGUGUCAUUGGGUUACAAUGUGGGAGGCCGAGCAUUAGGAUGGACGCCGACAAGCCAUAUGCCUGCCCCACGUGUGGGAAGCGCUUUGCUGAGGCAAGGUAUGUGAAGCAGCACCAGACUGUCCACACCAAAGACAGCUUCAAGUGCAAAUUAUGUCACAAGAGCUUCUCCUUCCUGAGUAGCCUUAUCAGACAUAGGAGUGUCCACAAUGGGGAGAAAUCGUAACAGUGUGGCUUAAGAUGUACACAGGGGAUGUCUUUAUCUGACAUAUUAUAGUUUUUUAACUAUAUAUUUAUAGUUAUCAUGUGAAGUGUCUAGGGAUAAGAGGGUAAUUAACCACAUACCCCUCAUUAACCCCUUUAACUUUUAAUUUGAAACAGGCUUGCGUCAAUACCUGAUUUUAGAGAGAUAGUAAACCUAGACUAGAACAAGUAUAGUUUAAUAUUCUCUGCUCUGUUGAAACCAAGAUUGAACUCUUUGGCCUGAAUGCCAAGUGUCACGUCUGGAGGACACCUGGCAGGGACUGGGAGACUAGUCAGGAUCGAGGCAAAGAUGAACGGAGCAAAGUGCAGAGCGAUCCUUGAUGAAAACCUGCUCCAGAGCACUCAGGACCCCUGGGGUGAAGGUUCAUCUUCCAACAGGACCCUAAGCACACAGCCAAGGUAACGCAGGAGUGGCUUCGGAACAAGUCUGAAUGUUCUUGAGUAUCCAGCCAGAGCCCGGACUUGAACCCAAUCAAACAUUUCUGGAGAGACCUGAAAAUAGCUGUGUAGCUACACUCCCCAUCCAACCUGACAGAGCAUGAGAGGAUCUGCAGAGAUGAAUGGGAGAAACUCCCCAAAUACAGGUGUGCCAAGCUUGUAGCGUUAUACUCAAGAAGACUCAAGGAUGUAAUCGCUUCCAAAGGGCAUUGUGGAGGAAACUACAGCUACUGGAACUGAAGGUGGCACGAUAGCACAUCCCCGCCAGUUGUCCCAGUACUGUCAAGAUCUUCGACCGAUACAGAGGAAUGGCAAAAGGUGAAGGACAUCUUAUUGGAGGCCACAGGAGUUUGGGAAAUCAGUGGGACACAAUACAUGCAGAGAUGACCAACCAAUCACUGUUGAUGAGAUGUCUAGAUGGGACGCCUGCGUGUCAGGUAGGAAGGAGCAAGAGGUUAAAGAGACACGCUCACAUAUGGAACUUUAAAGUCCCAUAGGCCUGUUGGGGGGACCAUACCAAGGACUCCUGGUGACAGCUAGCUGAAAGAGCUACCCGGAUUCAUAUCGCACUGUGGGAGGGUAAGGCACAAUGAACUGUCGAACAAUAACAGAGUUCGAGAGGAGAACUGGAAUUAACAUCUCUCGAAUGAAAAAUACCUUACCUGUCCUUUCCUCACUGUUGUUGUUCAUAGAAGUGAAGAUGUGUCUGGCUCUUGCUAAGCGAUGUGUUCUUGGGGAGAGGGUGGGGCUUCACAUGGAAGCUGUUCGUCUGAGCUGUCUUAUCGUGGGUGACAUAUUCCUGAUACAGCACGUCCUACUCAAGUAUGCGGAGAGUGGUAAUUUGACCCAUGGGUUAGACGGUGAGGAUUUUGUGAUUUUGUUCCAAAAUAGAAGAGAUACCGGUGCAGGUUCCCAUAUUGAUCGUGGACACAGGUCAUAGCUCAUUGGGAGAGAGGGCUAUAUGAAUCCACUCACCCAGUAUGGUAGAGUAGAGUGGCAUAAAGAUACGCUUAACCCUUUAAAUAGAAAUGAAGGAGGAUCAAGGGUUGUGGUAUGGAGAUGACCAGGUCUUGGUCGACACCCUAGUACGGUUCUGGGUAGAGGAGUUUGGGUCGGUAUGGUAAAGCUGUUCACGAAAGCAGGAAUGCCAGAUAAUGACAGUUGUAUCGAUUUGCACUAUUUAAAUCCCCAGGUUCCUCCCUUUACAGUAUCCAGAGGAGAUUAUUACUGUUUGGCCCGGUAUAGUACUCGUGAAAAUAUGUGGGAGAAGUUAGUACUUGUAAUAGAACAGAGAAUGUUACCACUAAAAAGACCCUGUUGGAUUUGAGCAGAAGAUGGGCCAGGGCUGCCAUCUGGUGGUUGUGUGGGGGAACAACUCUAUUACCCACAGAUUGGGUGGGGUCAUGUGCGUGGGGAUGCCUUUUACACUCAUUCAGACACCAGGACAUGAAGUUAUCUAAACGGGAAAAGAGAAGCACUCCAUCUGGGUCAUUUGAUGACAAGGUAUACAUUGAUAACAUUGGGGUUCCAGGGGAGGUGCCAGAUGAGUCAAAGCAAGAAAUCAGAUCCUAGCAGGAUUAGAGUUAAGCAUUUCCGGGGCUCUACUCUCAUAAGAACGUGGACUGGAUUAAUUAUAUUUAUGAUAAUCAACAGCGCUUUAACAGGUAUACCAGAGAUGUUAUUAAAGGUUUUGUAAAACAGACUGAAGCAACCAGCUGGAAGGCUUGACAGAAUAGAAUUGCAUUAGAUAUGUUAAUGGCUGAAAAGGGAGAAGUAUGCGUGAUAAUCAGGACCAUGUUUGUGCUUACAUCCCAAAUAACACAGCUCCGGACGAAUCAGUGCCCGAUGCCUCAGCUGGUUUGACCACCCUGGCUCACGGGUUGGCAGAAACUCUGGAGUGGAUAUUUCUCUGAACUAAAUUGGGUUGACAGUGUGUAUGGAGAAAUGUUGUGUUAUGGGCUACCUUCACCUGUGUGACUGUGUUAGUUUUGUACGGACGUGGUUGAUUGCGUGCAUGUAUGAAAGUUAUUAUUUCCAGGACUCUGGAGUAAUCUAUGACAAUAGAUGAUGCGGUGCGGGACGAUUCCAGGUUCUGACCCGUGGAGGACUGAAUGCCUGACUACAGGACAAGUGGACAAAUCUGGAUCUUUCAUCAUUGGGGAAUUUAUGUUUGAUGAGACUAGUGUUGAGGAUAUAAUUAGAUUGUACUUUGUUUCAAUAUUAGACUGUUUUUUAAUAAAGAUUGUAAUGAAAAUCCUGAAAGAAGAGUUAUGAUUCUGAUGUAGGUUUAAAAACGUUGAGUUAAGGUUAGAUUUGAUUAAUGAUGGGUGAAGAGUCGGAUAAACAUUUAUAAUAAUGUUGGUUAUGUGUCUAUUCAUAUGAUAAUCUGAUAAACCUUUAUAAUAAGGUUAGUAUGAGUAGGUUAAUAUUUGUAUUUUUUAUAUUUAAUAAAACUAGAUGUAGAUUUGAAUGUAUAAUAUUUGAUCAAAGGGAGGAUUGUUAGAGGAAAUUAUGGUUGAAAUGACUAAUUAUGUAUACAUUCCAAUCAGAACUGACUAGUCCAAAUGCUAUAAUGUACUGUACAUAUGAAUUCUCUCUUGCUCCCAUUCCCAAUUGUAUAUAAUGUAGUCAGGAGUUUAGUAACAAUGAAGGUCUGUUCCUUAGUUCAUACAUUUGUACAAUCUCCAGGUGGCAGGAACAGCCGAUCUCCAGACUGUCUAGAAUGCUGAUUUAUACUGACUGACCUUGACUUCGUGCUGAUAACGCGAAGGCUCGAGAGCUAGGGGGCCCCUCUACUGGUGAAAUAGAUAGAACGUUUAGAAAACGCUGACGUCAUUUUCAGUUUAUAACCUGUGGAAAUAUGUGUAUGUGGCAGUACUCUCUGGAAUUAAACGCUGUUACCUGGC